rnacentral:tRNA from 1 species
CAUUAGAAAGCUGAAUCGGACAAUAGCGUUAGCCUUUUAAGCUAAAGACUGGUGGCCUCC